CUCAUGGAAAGUUAGAUCCUGGCUCAGGAUGAACGCUGGUGGCAUGCUUAACACAUGCAAUUCGGAUGAGAAACAAGGGAAAUGGUGUUUCUAGUGGCAGACGGGUGAGUAACACAUAAGAAGCUGCCCUUGGGAGGGGAACAACAGCUGGAAAUGGCUGCUAAUACCCCAUAGGCUGAGGAGCAAAAAGAGGAAUCCGCCCGAGGAGGGGCUUGCGUCUGAUUAUCUAGUUGGUGAGGAAAUAGCUUACCAAGGCGAUGAUUAGUUGCUGGUUUGAGAGCAUGAUCAACCACAUUGGGACUAAGACACGGCCCAAACUCUUUUGGCAGGUAGCAGUGAGGAAUUUUUCGCAAUGGGUGAAAGCCUGAUGGAGCAAUGCCGCGUGGAGGUAGAAGGCCCACGGGUUGUGAACUUCUUUUCCUAAAGAAGAAGCAAUGACGGUAUCUGGGGAGUAAGCAUCAGCUAACUCUAUGCCAGCAGCCACGGUAAUACAGAGGAUGCAAGCGUUAUCCGGAAUGAUUGGGCGUAAAGCAUCUGUAGUGUCUUUAAGUCCGCCGUCAAAUCCCAGGGCUCAACCCUGGACAGGUGGUGGAAACUACCAAGAUGGAGUACGGUAGGGGCAUAGGGAAUUUCUGAUGGAGUGGUGAAAUGCGUAGCGAUCAGAAAAAACACCAGGUUUUUUUCCUCGGGUUGAAUAGGCUGCGUACAACCAUUCAAGUGAGUCACCUCCAAACCAUAUUGGUCAACUCAAGUCCAUUUUUUAGCACACACUUCCGCAUGCUUAUCACCUUU
rnacentral:ncRNA from 1 species